rnacentral:rRNA from 1 species
UACAGAGGAUGCAAGCGUUAUCCGGAAUGAUUGGGCGUAAAGCGUCUGUAGGUGGCUUUUAAGUCCGCCGUCAAAUCCCAGGGCUCAACUCUGGACAGGCGGUGGAAACUACCAAGCUGGAGUACGGUAGGGGCAGAGGGAAUUUCCGGUGGAGCGGUGAAAGUGCGUAGAGAUCGGAAAGAACACCAACGGCGAAAGCAACUCUGCUGGGCCGACACUGACACUGAGAGACGAAAGCUAGGGGAGCGAAUGGG